rnacentral:rRNA from 1 species
UACGUAGGGGGCAAGCGUUGUCCGGAUUUAUUGGGCGUAAAGAGCGUGUAGGCGGCCACACAGGUCAGCUGUGAAAACUCGAGGCUCAACCUCGAGACGUCGGUUGAAACCGUAUGGCUAGAGUCCGGAAGAGGAGAGUGGAAUUCCCGGUGUAGCGGUGAAAUGCGCAGAUAUCGGGAAGAACACCCGUGGCGAAGGCGGCAUCCUGGCCAUGUCCUGACGCUCAGGGGCGAAAGCGUGGGGAGCAAACCGG